GUGGCUUCACUCGUGGUUGUAUUGGAAACUCUCUUCUUCUUCCUUCUCUUCUCUAUAGUAGUUUGUGAUUGAAGCCAUCGGCAACGAUUCCAGGUUGUGAAUUUGCAAUGUUUAUAGCCACCUUCCCUAGGUAGUUAACAGGCUCCUAUAUGACAUUGCAACAUACCAGUUUAGUUCAGUUCAGUUAAAUAUGACACCAUAAGUAUAGAUGCUACAGUACUAACAAGGAUCAUUUCUUUUGGCUGGGUGCAAUAGAUUGAAACACAUAACAAAUAAAAUUAUGUACAUGUAAAGACUUGUCUAAAGACUAAGAUCUUUUCUAAUCUGUAACUAAAGACCAUGCAGAGGAAUGUGACUCCCUGAAAAAUGAUCUAUUGGUCGGGUGUAAUAGAUCAUUUCUUUUCACGCUAUUAGUAGUAGCAAACGUCAAUUCCUUGCAGGUCUCGAAUGCAGUCUCUUAACGUUUCUAACAAACAGACAUGCCGGGCUCAGGACUUGCAUAUGUAGCAAUCCUUUG
rnacentral:lncRNA from 1 species